rnacentral:rRNA from 1 species
UACGGGGGGGGCAAGCGUUGUUCGGAUUUACUGGGCGUAAAGGGUGCGUAGGCGGAAUGAUAAGUCAGUGGUGAAAGCCUGCAGCUUAACUGCAGAACUGCCAUUGAUACUGUCAAUCUUGAGUACAUUUGAUGAGGGCGGAAUGUGUCAUGUAGCGGUGAAAUGCUUAGAUAUGACACAGAACACCGAUUGCGAAGGCAGCUCUCAAAACUGUAACUGACGCUGAGGCACGAAAGCGUGGGUAUCAAACAGG